CUUCAUUUUUGAAGGUCACUUUGUAAGUUAGUUCAUUAGCAUUUCUGGCCACCCUCUUGUGCUGGACAAACAAUCUGGCCAAAGAACCCAGGCUGACAGACUCAGUUUCUUGAGGUUAGCAUGGUAAAAAUCCCACACAUAAUGAGAAUUCAGGAGCACAGUAUCACAAUGGCCAAGAACUAUCUUAGAGAAGACAGGUACACUAUUAUUCUCAUCUUAAGUAUGAAAAUAAAUGAAGUGCAGAGAGGAUAAGGAACUUGCCCACGGUCCUACAGUAGCCAAAUCAAUCAAGUGGAAGAAAGGAUAUCAGUGACUGAAGAUCAACUCAAUGAAAUAAAGCUAGAAGGCAAGUUUAGGGAAAAAGAGUGAAAAGAAAUGAACAAAGCCUUCAAGAAAUAGGAGAUUAUGUGGUAAGACCAAAUCUACAUUUGAUCAGUGUACCAAAGUGACAAGGAGAAUGAAACCAAGUUGGAAAACACUCUUUAGGAUAUUAUCCAGGAGAACUUCCCAACCUAGCAAGGCAGGCCAACAUUCAAAUUCAGAAAAUACAGAGACCACCACAAAGAUAUUCCUCAAGAAGAGCAAUCCCAAGGUACAUAAUCAUAAGAUUCACCAAGGUUGAAAUGAAGGAUAAAAUGCUAAGGGCAGCCAGGAGAGAAAGGUCAGGUUGCCCAUCUAACUAAUAGCAAAUCACUCAGCAGAAACCCUACAAGCCAGAAGACAGUGGGGGCCAAUAUUCAACAUCCUUAAAGAAAAGAAUUUUCAACUCAGAAUUUUAUAUCCAGCCAAACUAAGCCUCAUAAGCAGAGAAGAAAUAAAAUUGUUUACGAACAAGUAAAUGCUGAGACAUUUUGUCACCACCAGGCCUGCCUAACAAAAGCUCCUGAAGGAAGCACUAAACAGGAACAACCAGUACCCGCCACUGCAAAAAACAUACCAAAUUGUAAAGAAUAUCAAUACUAUGAAUAAACUGCAUCAACUAAUGAGCAAAACAACCAGCUAGCAUCAAAAUGGCAGGAUCACAUUCACACACAACUAUAUUAACCUUAAAUGGAAAUGGGCUAAGUGCCCCAAUCAAAAGACAAAGACUGACAAAUUGGAUAAAGAUUCAAGAUCCAUUGGUGUUCUGUAUCCAAGAUACCUAUCUCAUGAGCAAAGACAUGCAGAGGCUCAAAAUAAAGGGAUGGAGGAAGAUUUGCCAAGCAAAUGGAGAAUGGAGAAAAAAAAGCAUGGGUUGCAUUCCUAGUCUCUGAUAAAACAGACUUUAAAUCAACAAAGAUCAAAAGAGACAAAGAAGGCCAUUACAUAAUGGCAAAGGGAUUAAUGCAACAAGAAGAGCUAACUAUCCUAAAUAUAUAUGCACCCAAUACAGGAGCACUCAGAUACAUAAAGCAAGCUCUAAAUGACCUACAAAGAGACUUAGACUCCCACACAUUAACUGUGGGAGACUUUAACACCCCACUGUCAAUAUUAGACAGAUCAAUGAGACAGAAAAUUAAGAAGGAUAUCCAGGAUUUGAACUUAGAUCUGGACCAACUGGACCUAAUAGACAUCUACAGAACUCUCCACCCCAAAUCAACAGAAUAUACAUUCUUCGCAACACCACAUCACACUUAUUCUAAAAUUGACCACAUAAUUGGAAGUAAAACACUCCUCAACAAAUGGAAAAGAAUGGAAAUCAUAGCAAACAGUCUCUCAGACCACUGUGCAAUCAAAUUAGAACCCAGGAUUAAGAAACUCACUUAAAACAGUACAACUACAUGGGAACUGAACAACCUGCUCCUGAAUAACUACUGGAUAAUGAAAUAAAGCAGAAAUAAAGAUGUUCUUCAAAACCAAUGAGAACAAAGACACAAUGUACAAGAAUCUCUGGUACACAUUUAAAGCAAUGUCUAGAGGGAAAUUUAUACCACUAAAUGCCCACAAGAGAAAUGAAACAUAUAAAAUCAAUACCCUAACUUCAUGAUAUAAAGAAUUAGAGAGGCAAGAUCAACAAAUUCAAAAGCUAGGAGAAGACAAAAAAUAACUAAGAUCAGAGCAGAAUUGAAGGAGAUAGACACACAAAAAAACUUUCAAAAAUCAAUGUUGGAGCUGGUUUUUGAAAAUAUCAACAAAUGAUAGACCUCUAGCCAGACUAAUAAAGAAGAAAAGAGAGAACCAUCAAGUAGAUGCAAUAAAAAAUGAUAAGGGGGAUAUCACCACUGAUUCCACAGAAACACAAACUACCAUCAAAUAAUACAACAAACACUUCUAUACAAAUGAACCAAUAAAUCUAGGAGAAAUGGAUAAAUUCCUGGACACUUACAUCCUCCCAAUACUAAACUAGGAAGAAGCUGAAUCCCUGAAUAGACCAACAACAAGUUCUGAAAUUGAGGCAGCAAUUAAUAGCCUACCAACCAAAAAAAGUCCAGGACCAGAUGGGUUCAUAGCUGAAUUCUACCAAAGGUACAAAGAGGAGCUGGUACCAUUCCUUCUGAAACUAUUCCAAACAAUACAGAAAGAAGGAAUCUUCCCUAACUUAUUUUAUGAGACAAAUGUCAUCCUGAUAUCAAAACCUGGCAGAGAUACAACUACAAAGAAAAUUUCAGGCCAAUAUCCAUAAAAAACACUGAUGCAAAAAUCUUCAAUAAGAUACCAGCAAACAGAAUCCAACAGCAUAUCAAAAAGCUUUUCAACCAUGAUCAAGUCAGCUUCAUUCCUGGGAUGGAAGGCUGUUACAACUCACACAAAUCCAUAAAUGUAAUCUACCACAUAAACAGAAGCAAAGACAAAAACCACAUAAUUAUAUCAACAGAUGCAGAGAAGGCCUUUGACAAAUUUCAACAGCCCUUUAUGCUAAAAACUGUCAAUAAAGUAGGUAUGGAUGGAAUGUAUCUCAAAUAAUAAAAGCCAUUUAUGACAAGCCCACAGCCAUUAUCAUACUGAAUGGGCAAAAACUGGAAACAUUUCCUUUGAAAACUGACACAAGGAUGCCCUCUCUCACCACUUCUGUUCAACAUAGUUCUGGCCAGGACAAUCAGGCAAGAAAGAGAAGUAAAGGGUAUUUAGUUAGAAAAAGAGGAAGUUAAAUUGUCUCUAUUUGCAGAUGAUGAUUGUAUAUUUAGAAUACCCCAUCAUCUCAGCCCAAAAUCUCCUGAAACUGAGAGACAUGAUGAAAACACCAAAAGCAAUGGCAACAAAAGCCAAAAUAGACAAAUGGGAUCUAAUUAAACUUAAGAGCUUCUGCACAGCAAAAGAAACAUCAUUAUAGUGAACAUGCAACCAUAGAAUGGGAAAAAAUUUUUGCAAUCUACCUAUCUGACAAAGGGCUAAUAUCCAGAAUCUACAAAGAACUUAAACAACUUUACAAGAAAAAAAAAUCCCAUCAAAAUGUUGGUGAAGGAUAUGAACAGACACUUCUUUUAAAAAGACAUUUAUGCAGCCAACAAACAUAUGAAAAAAUCUCAUCAUCACUGGUCAUUAGGGAAAUGCAAAUCAAAACCACAUUGAGAUAUCAUCUCACGCCAAUUAGAAUGGCAAUCAUUAAAGAAAUCAGGAAACCACAGAUGCUGGAGAAGAUGUGGAGAAAUACGAAGACAUUUACACUGUUGGUGGGAGUGUAAAUUAGUUCAACCACUGUGGAGGACAGUGUGGCAAUUCCUCAAGGACCUAGACCUACAAAUACCAUUUGACUCAGCAGUCCCAUUACUGGACAUAUACCCUAAGUAUUGUAAAUCAUUCUAUCAUAAAGACACAUGCACACAUUAUGUUUAUGCAGCACUGUAAUAGCAACGACUUGGUUCUAACCCAAAUGCCCAUCAGUGAAAGGUUGGAUAAAGAAAAUGUGGCACAUAUACACCAUGGAACACCACGUAGUCAUCAAAAUGGAUGAGUUUGUGUCCUUUGCAGGGACAUGGAUAAAGCUGGAAACCAUCAUUCUCAGCAAGCUGACACAAGAACAGAAAACCAAACAUGGCACGUUCUCACUCAUAAGUGGGUGUUGAACAAUGAGAAUACAUGGGCACAGGCAGGGGAACAUCACACA